CCAGAGCUGAGCUGAGCUGCAGCUGCUAGCUGUGUGCUGUGGCACUGGCAGCAGCGACGAGCAGGAGACGACCGCGCUACGCGGGCCGGAGAGAAAAAAUGCAGAAAUAAUAGCUGACAGCCAUUGCUCCCUUCCGUUCCUUUGGCUCCUUGUACACAAAGCUACCCUACAACGCAGGACAGCCUCCUCGCUCUCCCCCCGUCCGUCUCUUUUCUCUGCUUCCUCCUCUUGAAGGCGCACACAUUUUCUUCUGCCGUGCUCUGCUUCCAACUUGCUCGCUCCUCCCGUCCUCCGCUUCUCCUCGCUCGCAAGCCCAGUGCUACUGCCGCGACAGGGAGAAACGGCAAUGGCAACGGCGCAGGCGGCCGCUGGAGGCGAGGCCACCGAGCUGCCCCCGGACAUCCAUGGCCUCGGCGAGAGCAGGAUGAGCAGCAGGUUGCAAUUCCAUGGUGAUCUCUGACAGAUCAUCCAAGGCAUCCGCCCCAUCGCGCCGCAAGUCCUGGACUUCCCAUUCGGCUUGAGCGCCUGGGUGGAGGUGGAGGUGGAGGUGGAGGUGGAGCCGUGGAGGUGGACGGACGAGGAUGCCAUGGUCACUGGAGCUGCUAGCGAGCAGGGAAUGAAGCCGUACGGUCCGGGAGCUGUAUACAUAAAUUUUUUUCGUGUAGCAUUGGAAACCGAUUAACAAGGAUUCAUUAUAAACUAGCCAUUGAUCGAGGUUAUGGUAUGA